rnacentral:rRNA from 1 species
GUCCGCAACGAGCGCAACCCUUGUCCUUAGUUGCCAGCAUUCAGUUGGGCACUCUAAGGAGACUGCCGGUGUUAAACCGAGGAAGGUGGGGAUGACGUCAAGUCCUCAUGGCCCUUAUGUCCAGGGCUACACACGUGCUACAAUGGCCGGUACAAAGGGCUGCAAGACCGUGAGGUUGAGCGAAUCCCAGAAAGCCGGUCUCAGUUCGGAUUGGAGUCUGCAACUCGACUCCAUGAAGUUGGAAUCGCUAGUAAUCGCGGAUCAGCAUGCCGCGGUGAAUACGUUCCCGGGCCUU